rnacentral:rRNA from 1 species
AUAUCAAUAAGCGGAGGAAAAGAAACCAACAGGGAUUGCCUCAGUAACGGCGAGUGAAGCGGCAACAGCUCAAAUUUGAAAUCUGGCCCCAAUCGGGAUCCGAGUUGUAAUUUGUAGAGGACUCUUCGGGUGCGGGACCGGCCUAAGUUCCUUGGAACAGGGCGUCAUAGAGGGUGAGAAUCCCGUCUGCGGCCGGCCUCCAACCCCAUACGAAGAUCCUUCGACGAGUCGAGUUGUUUGGGAAUGCAGCUCAAAAUGGGUGGUAAAUUUCAUCUAAAGCUAAAUACCUGCCAGAGACCGAUAGCGCACAAGUAGAGUGAUCGAAAGAUGAAAAGCACUUUGGAAAGAGAGUUAAAAAGUACGUGAAAUUGUUGAAAGGGAAGCGCUUGCGACCAGACCUGGACGUGGACGUUCAGCGGUGGUUCUCCGCCGUGUACUCGCCCAUGAUCAGGCCAGCAUCGGUUUCGGCGGCCGGAUAAAGGCCCCGGGAAUGUAGCUCCCCUCGGGGCGUCUUAUAGCCCGGGGUGCCAUACGGCCAGCUGGGACCGAGGACCGCGCUUCGGCAAGGAUGCUGGCGUAAUGGUCGUAAGCGG